rnacentral:lncRNA from 10 species
AAGUUGCAUCCCCAAAUGCGAGGCUGGCCUGACCAAAAAGAGCCAGUCGGCGCCCGGAAGAGGCGAGACUCGCGCUUGGGUUCUCAAUCCUUCUCUUUUCUCCUUUCUUUUUCCCUUUCUCCUCUCCGGUUCCUGAUUUAGCUGGGAGCUGUUUAUUUAUGGCUGCAAAUGUGUGUGUUCAAGAGAGAGAGGGAAUUGAUCUUUGCCUGGACUUAAAGAUGGAGCCGAAGAAGCUGGAGGGAAUUUGGGCUUGUGCGUCUGGCCCAGACCCUGUGCGCCGAGCCCGAGGUCUAUCCUCCCCGCACCUCUCACCUCGCGACCUUGCAGGAAUCCGCGGGCCCGGAUGCUGCCCAGCUGACCCUCCUGCCCCGGGCCUGGCUGCAGAGAAAGUCUUCGGGCAGGAGGCCAUCCUGUUCCUGUCUUUAAAAUGAGCACAAUAAAAGGGGGCAAAUCCUCGAACGCGAACCUGAUCUCAUGUCACAGAAGCAACUUGCCAUGAAAUCCGCUAAUGCGCUGCGACUCGCCCACCAGGUAUGUUCCUUAACAACCAGAUAUGUAAGAAAACGUUUGGGAUUGAGUGGUGAGAAAAGCAGACUGGAAAGUACAAAUAAACCCAAUCCAAAUGGAAAACAAAUUAAACAGAUGAAAUGAUUAUGAAAGAAGAUGGGGGAAUUAACUUGUCUGGAAAAAAUCGAGUUUAGGGUCUGAACUUUACAGAUUAAAUGGCAACACAGAACAAAUCCAAAGGAAUUAAAUCUAUUCUUUUGCCCUCCUAGGCAUCUGGGUCAGAUGCACAUUUUGAGGCAUUUCAACAGACAGAUCAGCUCUGGGACACUUGCACACUUUUUUGGUAAACUGCAACCUAUUACGUGACCUUUAAUCCUGGUGGAAAACAAUUUAAAAUGUAUUCCUGGCUUUAGGAAACAAAAGAAAAAUUUUAAACCCUGGCAGUUAAAUUAUUACUGGUCUCUACAGGGUUAAUUUAAUGUAAAUAAUCUACUCUCCUGAGGGAAAAGGUGGAGGCCUGGCAUUCUGGAAGGGCCAGUCAGGUGGUGACAAAACUGUGUGCCUUGGGGUUUUGAGGGGUGUGUUGGGUGGCUCUGAACCUGGCUUUGGGUUUGUUACAUCUCUCGCUCUCUUAAAACAGUAACUCAAGAUGUAAGUAAAAGUGUUUUCAUUUUUUAUUGAUCCUGCUAACAUCUUUCAUUAUCCAGCAUGUAGCCACAGCAAAUUAUUGCUCAUUUGAUACUGAGAAUUCUAUUGACCAUCGCUUUCGUUGGAGAGAGAAUUCUAACUACUCGGCUGCUCUGUCAUCAGUCAGAGCUAAGGCUGAGGACUUUCCACCACUAAAACCAAAAUAAAUUGAGCCUUCUGCCUCCAGAAAUUGAUAGAGAUGUGUUCAUUACAUUGGGCCACAUGAGCAUGCAUAGAAAUCUGCUUUUUACUCUCCCAGCCUUGCCCCCACUCAGGCAAUAGGUCGGCCCCUUUGGAACAGAACUGUCUAUUUGAAGGGCUGGGCAUUCGUUUGCUUUUCCUGUAUCCCUUCUGGCAACUUCUUUCCAGCUGUGGCCAGGUUGGGGCAAUGAAAUGAUGCAAUGGGAGACUCCUCCUCAGUCCUGUGGUCAAAGCCACCUUGACUUGCUUAAGCUUAGAGAAAUCAUUAAAAUCUCAAAAACAAAAACAAACAAAAAACCUCCUAAAAUGUCCAGAUAGGUCACUUUAUGGUCUGGAUAUAAUUUCCUAAAUUAAACUGCUCCACCCCCAUCAAGACCCCACAUAAUCAAAGAGCAGAGCGGCUAAGUUGGGAAGCGAAGGUUAAGCUCUGGGGUAUGCGCCUGUUCACUCUGGAAAUGGGCGUCCAGCGGGAAUGAUAGGCCUGGGCGACUCGUGCACUCACACCAGCCCAAGCGGAAAGGAAGUCUGGGCCUAGAGAAGGCCUGACCUUUGACCCUUGGCCCGGCAGCUCCGGGGUGCUAGAGUCUGCAGAGGGAGGCGGGUUGGGAGACGAGGCUAGACAGGGGCCCGCAGGGCAAUAGGAAAGGCUGGGUUUGUUCCCCAGGAAGCUAGUGGAGUAAUCUACCUUGACGCAGAAAGGAGCUGGAGCUGCCCCACAGCAGGGGCCACCCGACGCCCGACCCUCUGGCUGCCUUCACCAUCCCAGAGGCGGGCAGGUCAGGCCUGUCUGUUGGGAUCCAGGCUCCCUUGCCACUUCCCUUCCAGCAUCUGGGGAAAAGACGCCCUGACUCAAGGGUGUUCUGGCCCCGCACGACGGGGGGCGAAGAGAGACAAAAGUCGAGCCUAACAGCAGGCGGCUGCUGAGCUGGCGGGUCUUGGGCCACUGCUAGUCCAGCGUUGGCGUCCAGCGGGGCCUGUCACCUUUACAAGUAACAAGGGACCAUAUCCGCUUCUCCUUAAGCCCUGGACCCCAAGGGGAGGCCAGGACGACCUUGCAGGAGCCAUGCCCCCUGGGGAUUCUAUGGAGGAGAUUGUUUGGUUGGGUUUCAUUUGCAUCAAUACCAGGAGAUGAACCCUCUGGGUUUGGCUUCAGAACAAACGGAGGACCAAUUAACGCCUGUACAAAUUAGUCCCUGGCGUGUGCAACCCGCCAAACAACGCCAGUUCCAAAUCGGAAGGCACGUUUAGGGACUCUCAGGGACCCGGCUUGGUAGUUAUUUUUCCAAUGGUGCUGUUAAGUGUGAGUGAAGCUAUUUGCACUCUCGCGGGCCUCGCUCCAAGACCCCUGGCACGAUGGGGAGCCACUUUGUUCCGGAGGAAGGCAGCGGAUGAAUAGGAACCCUGGCUGCGCACAUGGACCCUAACCCAAGAGCAGCAGCAGCAGCAGCAGCGGAAAGACACGGGUAGUCUGAUUCGGCUUGGGGAACGGAAGGGGAGUGUAAGAUGAGAUACACACCGGAUUUUUUUAGUUUUUCCUUUUUUGUUUUUAACGUAGAUAAAUAACCCCAUCGUCCGUGUAAUCAGCACGUUCCCAAUGAAGUCGUUUUCCUAGAAUGCGCUCUCCGCCUGCCACACUUGAGGAAUCCAGCCCACAGAGGUUUCGGAAACCCAGUUUGAGUGAUUCCAGCCUAGACUGAAACCCUGAGAGCCUCCCAGGAAAGAGAGCCCGGCCUGGGCCAAGCAGUCGGACACACACACACACACACACACACACACACACACACACACACACACACACACGGACUGCGUAGCUCUUCGCAGGAUCGAAGGCUGGAUGCGGAUCUGGGAGGCGGUGGCUAAGCGAACCAGGAAGACUGUGACGGAAACCAAUACAGCAGUGUCAUCUUGAAAGUUAUUUGGAAGAACAGGACCUGGAGUCUGGGUUUGAAUCAAAAAAUUGUGAGCAAGGGACAGAUCACCCUGUAUUUCUCUGGAACGAGGCAGAACUGAGACCUGCUCAGCUGAACCAGCGUGGCCACAUAUUGGGGACUAGGAAAUUGUUCUCAGACACUGUAGCACACACAUCCUCUGACAGCGAGCUCACUCCUGCGCAGUGGGCUUCUGGUUCUGCCACUGCACUCCACAAACGCCCUACAGGCCUCCUCCAGGUUUUGCCAGGCAAAUGAAACGAGCACAACUCGAUAGUAAAUUAUUUUGUUCAGCCUUCUCUCUUUUUAUGAAAAUAAGAGGCAACACUUUGUCAUUUUUAAUCACAUAAGCAGACAAUAAAUCUAAUUUUGAUAUUGAUUUUUUUUCCAGAAUCCAGUGAUUUUUUGUAGUGGCUGUUGUGUUUCCUUUCUGAAGAAGGGCUGUUUUCUUUUAGACUGUGUGGCAACGGGGCUGCGUCUAUGCAGGCUGGUGCUUAUCUGAAACACGUUGUGGACUUUGAAGCCAGAUAGCUGACAAGGGAUUUUUCCUGGGUGGAAGGAAGUUUGGGUUUUGUCUGAGACAGUGAUU